AGUGCCUGGACCAGGACUAUCAUAUUGGGGACCGUCUUCUCUGCUCUCCCUUUAUGGGGGUCGGGAGAACGAUGGGUCAAGUGUUGUCCGAAGAAAGCGAGAAAGCGACGGGCGCCUUCAAAAGCCCCCUUGGCGAUGGGUUACAGUAAGAGAUACCUCCAGGCCUGGGCAUCUGCUGGGAACAGGGGUGGAUAGGGUCGUGUCAUCUAAAGGCACAGCCUCAACCAGAAGACUGAAAGUCAGCCAAGAGCUGGGAGUAGUUUCACGCGAGGUGGGGAUUCCUACGAGCAUCACUUUACAAAACCAGGAGGGACGGCAGUGAGAGGGGGCAGAGUCUUGGGAACAGGUCCUGGGGCGACUGCAACAGAAUGUAACCGCCGCGUGUAGGGGAAGGGGGCGCCAGGGAGAGGGCGCAGUCUCUGAAUCUUUCCAAGGCAUCCAUCCUAGGGCCCCUCCCGGUUCAACGGUCUCCUACCCUGUAAUCACCCACAAGAGCGUGCCCUUUCUGCCCGCCCUUCCUAGCAUUGCUCCUUGCUUGGCGGAGCGCUGCGGAGUUCCACGCCUCUAAACCCCGCCUCUCCUUGCAACAUGUGUUGGCCUCAUCUACCCAGCAACUGUCGACGUCACAUUCUCCUGAAUGGGAGAUAUUUACUAGACAAUCCCGCCUACUGUUCUGAGGUUUCCCCUCCAGGUGCCGCUUCGCAGCCAGGCUAACCAGGAAGGACCGAAACGGGCGAGGUGGAAGUCUGCAUUAUCACGAGGAGCUUGGAAAGGAGGUAACACACUCAAGGCAAAUUUCAAGUAACUCCUCCUAGAGGCAGCUGCCUACUCUGCAGCUGUGGUUCUCCACCACAGAGAGAAGAAAAGGGAGGGAGAUGGAGUGCGCAGGUCUGAGAAGGCUUUCAUUCUGGAGCAUCUGCAGGAGCCUGUACCAUGGCCCAGUAGCACCCCUUUUUCUCCAUGAGCUGCUGGUGGGUUCCCCCCUCCCGGAUAGCGCCUCCUUCCAGAAAGAGGAUGUGGUCAGCCUGCUCCACCAGGCUGAGGUGCUGGGUGAUUAGAAGCACUGAGCGAGAGUACCGCUCAGGGCUUUCGUACAGGAGCUGCUCCACCUGAGGAAAGACAUCAGACCGUCAGAGCUGGGAGCCCGGGGAGACACCUGUGUUUCCAGGGCUGGGACUGACCUCACAGGAUCAGUGCUGACUCUGCCAACAACCCUAAGGACACCAAAGUUUCCCAUUCUGAGUACUUCUCUGCAAACCCUUUGUUUCAUUAAGAACUGUUUUAAAUGAAGGGUGUGAAAGUGGGAUAAAAGUGAGAGUCCUAGAGUGAAACACAUGACAGAAGAAUAAAGACUAUUGAAUAGUCCUCAUCUCUACCCAUGGCCUUGGAAUUUUUAUAUUAGAUUUUAAGGAAACAUAACUUAGUAGUAAAGAGGUGAGCCUUCAAGUCAGGCAGACCCGAAUCUGGGUCAAGGCUGCACCACUCAAAAGCUAUAUGACCUCUAUAUGAGCAGCUUAUUCAAUCUCUUUUAGCCUCCAUUUUGUCAUCUGUAGAAUGAUGAUAAAUGCCUAGCUCAGAAGGAUUCCUAAUGAAUAAAUGAGUGACAUUGUGAGUAAAGAGACUAGCUUAAUUAAUAUUAAUAUGAUUAGGACGGGCUGGGCCCAGUGGCUCAUGCCUAUAAUCCUAGCACUUUGGGAGGUCAAGAUGGGAAGAUCACUUGAGCCCAGGAGUUCAAGGCCAGCCUGGGCAACAUAGUGGGACCCUGUCUGUACAAAAAAAAAUUUUUAAAUAAUAUUAUGA